rnacentral:rRNA from 1 species
GACGAACGCUGGCGGCGAGCUUAACACAUGCAAGUCGAACGGAAAGGCCCCUUUGGGGGUACUCGAGUGGCGAACGGGUGAGUAACACGUGAGUAACCUGCCCUUGACUUCGGGAUAACUUCAGGAAACUGGGGCUAAUACCGGAUAGGAAUCCUUGCUGCAUGGUGGGGGUUGGAAAGCUUCGGCGGUUUUGGAUGGACUCGCGGCUUAUCAGCUUGUUGGUGGGGUAGUGGCUUACCAAGGCUUUGACGGGUAGCCGGCCUGAGAGGGCGACCGGCCACAUUGGGACUGAGAUACGGCCCAGACUCCUACGGGAGGCAGCAGUGGGGAAUAUUGCACAAUGGGCGGGAGCCUGAUGCAGCAACGCCGCGUGCGGGAUGACGGCCUUCGGGUUGUAAACCGCUUUCAGCAGGGGCGAAGCUUGUGGUGACGGUACCUGCAGAAGAAGCACCGGCUAACUACGUG